UACAUACGUUCAUCCUACAUAGAGAAUAAAAUCAUCGUCGUGGAAGCCAACCGUAUCAAACAAUCCACCCUUGAUCUUAAAUUGCACGAAAACACACAGACUUGAAUGUGAUAAAAAAAAAAACCCCAACCAGAAAGUGGGGCAUAGAGCAUGUGGACUACUCGACUUUUUUCAGUAGUAAAUGAUGCUGUCAAAUUUUGACGAGAUGAUAGCCAAUGUUACAACAAGUGGCAAUUUGUAGUGAGAUUGUUAGAAUUUGUUUUAGAUGGUGGAAGAAGGAGAGCAUGAGGAAGUCAGUGAGUAAUGGAAUAGACAUAAACCCGGAACAUCAGAUAAAAGUAUAUUUUUAGAAAUGAACGAGAAAAUUAGCUUUUAUUACUAACAUCUUCCCACAUAUCUGGAUCCAUCAAACAACAUUAUAAUGCAACAUCGUUAACACACUUUUUCAAGGUAAAAUUCAACUUAAAUUAACAUAAAACGUUGUCACCGAACCAAUUCUAUUUCAAUAUUUGAUAGCCAAUAAAAUUAAUUAUAUUCAACUGCAUGUUUUAAUCGAAAUACCUAAGAAAGCUGAUAAUUAAAGAUGUAAGCAAAUAUAAAUCUUACUAGCAAAGGUAUCGA
rnacentral:lncRNA from 1 species